rnacentral:rRNA from 1 species
GGCGGCGCGUCUUAAACAUGCAAGUCAAGCGGAGUAGCAAUACUCAGCGGCGAACGGGUGAGUAACACGUGGGUAAUCUUCCUCCGAAUCUGGGAUAACUUUCCGAAAGGAAAGCUAAUACCGGAUAGUUCUAUUGGAUCACAGGAUUUGAUAGAUAAAGGUUUACUGUUCGGAGAUGAGCCCGCGGCCGAUUAGCUAGUUGGUGAGGUAAUGGCUCACCAAGGCGACGAUCGGUAGCCGGCCUGAGAGGGUGUCCGGCCACAAUGGAACUGAGACACGGUCCAUACUCCUACGGGAGGCAGCAGGUUAAGAAUCUUGCUCAAUGGGGGGAA